ensembl:lncRNA
UGACCAGCUGUCAGCAGAGACUCGUAUCACUGUGUGUUUUGCUCUGGAGAGGCUGAGAGGAAUCGUUUUCUUCCUACUUGAAUCUCAGAAUGAGGACAGUCCUGCUGAUCGCCCUCUGUCUGAUCUCAGGUGAGUGUCAUCAGAACUUCACCGGAGUGACAGGACAGUUAGGGACGUCUGUCAUCAUCACCUGUGUGUAUCCCAAGAACUACCCAGACCAUGGCAAAAUCUUCUGCGUUAGCAUGGGCUCCCGGUGCGGGACCCUGGUGUCGACGGAUCGCAACGCAACAGAGGCCAAAAGAGGCCGAUAUUCACUGGUCUAUAACAGAGAGGAAAGAGCUUUGGAGGUCACCAUUGAUGGACUGAUGGAGAACGACACGGCGAUGUACUGGUGUGCAGCCAGAACCGGUCUUAAAAAACCUUACAAGACCACAAGAGUUAUAGCAGUUGUUCUGCAUGUGAGUCCAGUGACUGGACAAAUAGGUGGAAGUGCAGACUUCAGAUGUCCAUAUGAACGUGGACUUGAAUCAAGCCCAAAACACUUCUACAGGGGAGAACACUCCCAUAAUGCCCCUCUUCACCAAAGAGCCGUCCUCAUUCAGACCAACCAGAGCAACAUCCUGGUCACUCAAGGGAGAUUCUCUCUCUAUGACAACACCACAUAUAGAGUGUUCACCGUGACCAUCUUUAACCUGACAUC